rnacentral:rRNA from 1 species
AUAUUAAUAAGGGGAGGAAAAGAAACUAGCAAGGAUUCCCUCAGUAACGGCGAGUGAAGCGGGAAGAGCUCAAGCUUAAAAUCUCCACUUUGUGGCGAAUUGUGGUCUAUAGAGGCUGUUGUCAGCAUAGCGACCUGGGACAAGUCCCUUGGAAGAGGGCAGCAUGGAGGGUGAUACUCCCGUCUCUGCUCAGGUUGUCUGUGUGUACGAUACGCUUUCUUCGAGUCGAGUUGUCUGGGAAUACAGCUCAAAGUAGGUGGUAAAUUCCAUCUAAAGCUAAAUAUUGGUGCGAGACCGAUAGCGCACAAGUA